GAUGAACGCUGGCGGCGUGCUUAAUACAUGCAAGUCGAGCGAAGCACUUUAACGGAAUUCUUCGGAAGGAAGGUAAAGUGACUGAGCGGGCGGACGGGUGAGUAACGCGUGGGUAACCUGCCUUAUACAGGGGGAUAACAGUUAGAAAUGGCUGCUAAUACCGCAUAAUAAAGCAGAUCGCAUGAUCAGCUUUUGAAAGGCGGCGUAAGCUGUCGCUAAGGGAUGGCCCCGCGGUGCAUUAGCUAGUUGGUAAGGUAACGGCUUACCAAGGCGACGAUGCAUAGCCGAGUUGAGAGACUGAUCGGCCACAUUGGGACUGAGACACGGCCCAA
rnacentral:rRNA from 1 species